rnacentral:rRNA from 1 species
CCUACGGGAGGCAGCAGUGGGGAAUAUUGGACAAUGGGGCGAAGCCUGACCGCCUUGCCGCGUUUGUGAAGAAGGUCUUCGGAUUGUAAAGCACUUUAAGUUGGGAGGAAGGGCAGUAAGUUAAUACCUUGCUGUUUUGACGUUACCGACAGAAUAAGCACCGGCUAACUCUGUGCCAGCAGCCGCGGUAAU